AAGCACGUAGGUGGGUUUGUAAGUCAGAUGUGAAAGCCUUCUGUUCAACGGGAGAAUUGCAUCUGAAACUACAGACCUUGAGUAUAGGAGGGGAGAGUGGAACUUCUGGUGGAGCGGUGAAAUGCGUAGAUAUCAGAAGGAACGCCGGCGGCGAAAAGCGAUUCUCUGGCCUAUUACUGACACUCAGUGUGCGAAAGCUAGGGGAGCAAACGGGAUUAGAUACCCCGGUAGUCCUAGCCGUAAACGAUGGGCACUAAGUAGAGGGGUUUU
rnacentral:rRNA from 1 species